CAAAAUAUAUCUAAUACAUUUAUUUUCAUUAUCAUCUAAUUCUAAAGUUUAAACAAAAUACAGGAAUUAUGAUUUUGAAAAUGAUAGGGCAUCAAAAUACAUUGAGCCGAUCCUGACCUUACUCCAUCUUGUUUCCGCUAAAAUCGCGUCAAAGUCGUAGAUUCAUGGCGUCGAUGUGUGGCUACGAAUUCACAAGAUCUAUCGCUCGGUACGCCAUUGAGGCUAGAGAAAGCGAUUUCCUGCACUCGUACUGUUUCGUCGAAAACGAAGUUUCAUGACUGUUUCAUAUUGAAAAUGUUUUGAAUAAGAAACAGUUAUUGAGUAUUCUAUAUCGCUGAUUUAUAGUCACGUGAUAAUUUAUAUUCUAUGUACAGUGUCCAUACACAAAAUCCUAGAUUGUAAUUACUGCUAAAUAAAUAUACAAUUAAUUAAAAGCGUAAAA